GUGAUUGUAGCUCAGUGGUAGAGCACUUGCCUCACACAUACGAGGCCCUGGGUUCGAUCCUCAGCAUACAUA
rnacentral:tRNA from 1 species